UACGGAGGAUCCAAGCGUUAUCCGGAUUUAUUGGGUUUAAAGGGUGCGUAGGCGGAUUGAUAAGUUAGAGGUGAAAUGUCCGAGCUCAACUCGGGAACUGCCUCUAAUACUGUUGAUCUAGAGAGUAGAUGCGGUAGGCGGAAUGUAUGGUGUAGCGGUGAAAUGCUUAGAGAUCAUACAGAACACCGAUUGCGAAGGCAGCUUACCAAUCCAUAUCUGACGUUGAGGCACGAAAGCGUGGGGAGCAAACAGG
rnacentral:rRNA from 1 species